rnacentral:rRNA from 1 species
GAUGAACGCUGGCGGCGUGCCUAAUACAUGCAAGUCGAGCGAACAGAUGAGGAGCUUGCUCCUCUGACGUUAGCGGCGGACGGGUGAGUAACACGUGGAUAACCUACCUAUAAGACUGGGAUAACUUCGGGAAACCGGAGCUAAUACCGGAUAAUAUAUUGAACCGCAUGGUUCAAUAGUGAAAGACGGUUUUGCUGUCACUUAUAGAUGGAUCCGCGCCGCAUUAGCUAGUUGGUAAGGUAACGGCUUACCAAGGCAACGAUGCGUAGCCGACCUGAGGGGGUGAUCGGCCACACUGGAACUGAGACACGGUCCAGACUCCUACGGGAGGCAGCAGUAGGGAAUCUUCCGCAAUGGGCGAAAGCCUGACGGAGCAACGCCGCGUGAGUGAUGAAGGUCUUCGGAUCGUAAAACUCUGUUAUUAAGGAAGAACAAAUGUGUAAGUAACUAUGCACGUCUUGACGGUACCUAAUCAGAAAGCCACGGCUAACUACGUG